GUAUGGCUGUUCGCCAUUUAAAGAGGUACGUGAGCUGGGUUCAGAACGUCGUGAGACAGUUCGGUCCCUAUCUGCCGUGGGAGUUGGAGUCUUGAGAAGAGUUGCCCUUAGUACGAGAGGACCGGGGUGAACGAACCUCUGGUGUAUCUGUUGUUCCGCCAGGAGCAGCGCAGAGUAGCUAUGUUCGGACGGGAUAACCGCUGAAAGCAUCUAAGCGGGAAGCCUCCUUCAAUACCAGGACUCCCUAUCAGAGCCGUGGAAGACCACCACGUUGAUAGGCUGGAUGUGGAAGUACGGUAACGUAUGAAGCUAACCAGUACUAAUUGCUCGAUCGGCUUGAAUUUAA
rnacentral:rRNA from 1 species